GGCCCCUAAACUGGUAGAAUUUUGACAAACAAUUCUAACAGUAAAUGAUGGGUAAAUUUAGAAAGGCUUAGCAAUUCGCAACAUACUAAAAUGGUGAUUAGACUACGUCAUGUUAACCACCCAAAGACUAACUACCGUCCAUCACCACACGUGAGCCUAAUCACCCAAAGACUAACUACCGUCCAUCUCCGCACGUGAGCCUGAUCACCCAAAGACUAACUACCGUCCAUCACCACACGUGAGCCUGAUCACCCAAAGACUAACUACCAUCCAUCUCCGCACGUGAGCCUGAUCACCCAAAGACUAACUACCGUCCAUCUCCACACGUUUCUGUUCCCAAAGAAUUUCUGGAAACUUGUGACCUGCCAGUUUCAGUCCUGGAGAAAGACAACUGUUGCCAGUGAACUCAAUUUCCUUUCAUAACUUGCUUCUGUCACCUAAAAUCCAAAUUCUUGGACUUGGGUUGGAAAUGAGGCACUGGUAAUCUGAGAAAAAGUUUUCUCAAUGUCUGUUUUAGUAAGAAUGUGGAAGAACCUUAGUUCCAAAUGUUUCCACUCUGGAAAUCACACAGGGCAAUAAGGAAAGUGCAGAAACACCCUGCAUAUGACCAUGAUGGAGCUAAAGGACAAACAGAGCAUCACCACGAAGCCUGCAGAUGCUAACAAACAACAAGCAACACUACCAAAAAGCUCCAUGCACAAAACUGACAACUCGGGUGAAAUGAACCAAUUCUUUGAGAUUCAAAAAGCUACUAAAACUCACUUAAGAUGAAAUAGUUAGCCUGAACUGUCCGAUACUAUUAUAGAUGUUGAAGUUGAGGAAAAAGAGAUCUCCAAUCUCAGAAAGUUUCACUGGCAAAUGUCACUGAGCAUUUAAAGAAAUAGCGCCUAUUCUACAGAAUCUUUCCAGAAAAUCAAAGAGGAAAGAACACCUCCCCAUGCAUUUUAUGAGAUCAACAUUACCCCAAUAUCAACACGAAAGAUGGUACCCAAAAAAGAGAAAAAAGGGAGAAACCUAGAGAUCGAUAUCCUGCAUGAAUAUAGAUGCAAAAAUUCUCCACAAAAUAGUAGCAAACUGAUUCCAGUAAUAUCUAAAAAUAAUAAGUGAGAUUUAUCCUUAGAAUGAAAGACUGGUACCAUAUUUCGAAAGCUUUAAGUGUAAUCAACUAUAUUAACAGUCUAAAGAAAAAAAUAUAUGAUUAUAUCAAUUGAUACAGAAAAAGCAUUUGACAAAAUUAAAUACCUCUUCACAGUAAAAACCUGUAUGUGAGUGUUUAUAGAAUUCUUCACAAUGGCAAAGUACUGGAAACAACCCAAAUGUCUUUCAGCAGGUAAAUGGAUAAAUAAACUCUGGUAUGUACAUGUAUAUAAUGGAAUACUACUCAGCAAUAAAGAGGAACCAACUAUUAUGACAUGCAACAACUUAGAUGAAUCUCAAAGGCAUUAUGCUGAGUGAAAGAAUCCAGUCUCAAGAGUUUACAUACUGUAUGAUUCCAAUAAUAUGACAUUCUCUAAAUGACAAAUUAUGGUGGCAGAGAACAGAUCAAAGUUGCCAGGGGUUAAAGGUGUAGGAGGGUGUGACUAUAAAGACAUAGAACAGAGCAGAUUUUUGGGGUGAUGGAAAAGUUUUGUGUAUUGAUUGUAGUAGUUACACAAAUAUGUGUUAAUAUUUGUGGAAUAUGAAAUUUUACAUAUUGGGAUUUUAUAUACCCCCCAAAGUUCAAUUUUACCGUAUAAUAAUCUUUAAAAUAAUACUAAUAAAAACAUGGUAUAGCUCCACGUUCAGCAAGGAAAAUAAAUCUUUAAGAAACAAAGAAAUCAUACAAAUUCCAUAUGAUAUGGCCAAAAGCAAUUGAGAUAAACAAAAUCUUCAUGGGAAUCCUUGAUAAAGCAUUGAGUUUAUAGGGAAGAAUGAGCAGUGUCCAGAGGACCUCGUUGUAGAAGAUACUAGAAAUUACCAUCAAUAUUCAUUUUCAAAAGGAGAGGGCACUACUUUGAGUGAGCAGGACUGAGAAUAAAUAGGAAUAAUUACUGAGGGAGCUGGAGAAUAUGUCAUGGAACAUGCAGAGAUGGGGGGACAAAGGCGGUAGAUCUCAGAAAGUACUAUUUUUUUUUUUUUUAAAGAUUUUAUUAUUUCCUUUUUCUCCCCAAAGCCCCCUGGUACAUAGUUGUAUAUUAUUCGUUGUGGGUUCUUCUAGUUGUGGCAUGUGGGACGCUGUCCUCAGCGUGGUUUGAUGAGCAGUGUCAUGUCCGCGCCCAGGAUUCGAACCAACGAAACACUGGGCCGCCUGCAGCGGAGCGCGUGAACUUAACCACUCGGCCACGGGGCCAGCCCCAGAAAGUACCACUUUUUAAAAGGGAAGAGAUGGUUUUUUCUCUGGGUAACCAUUACAGUGAAGAAACCACCACUUCCACCCACAUUUCAUCAGUCAAAACCAGUCAUAUGGGCUUAACUUCUGGGGGAAGUAGACAUCCACCAUGGGCACAAAUGACCAUCAUAGUCCACCACCCUGGUAGUUAAUUCAGGCCACUUUCCUUCCUGCAUGCACAACACACCCAGCCUCUCUCUGAGAGCCCACCCAGUCAUGGGACCAAAGACAAACUCCAGUAUCUCUGCUGUGGGGUUGUUUCUUCAUCAGGGGAUGGUUCACAGUGAUCUCUAUGUCAAGCCCAAUUGUGGCUCCUCUUAAUCUGGAAACUUAUGAAUCAAAUGUCAACAUAUCUGCCUUCUACUCCAAACUACAAAGGAUAGUGAAGAAACUCUCCAAGAAAGAAAGGGAAAUGAAGGGAGAUACUCUGAAGACAGUGGCCCAAAGCUACAUAUACAAGAAAAAGAGUCUGAGAGGAGUAUGGUUUCUUUCAUAAAAUGUGUGUAUGAAAAUUUAUUAAUAAUGUAUUCCUAAUGCACUGAAGUAAAUUAGAUCAAGAUUUCUGGAGGUCAACAUGGCAAAAUGUAGCAAAGGCUUUAAAAACAGUCAUUCUCUGAGAUUUAGUAUUUUUGCUUCUAAUAGUUUAUCCUGAGUAAAUAAUCAGAGGAUGCAGAAAUAUUUACAGACACAAGAAUGUUCAUUGCAGACUUAUUUAUAGUAACAAAAAUUAAAAACAACUGAAAUAAUAUCCACAGGAUAAAAAUAAAAUUAUUACACACUUAUGAAUAGGAAUGUUUUUCAGCUCUUAAGGAUUACUUGAUGACAUGGGGACAUGCUCGUGGGGAAAGGUGAAUUAAAAAUUGUCCUUACACCUUGAAGGCGUUAUGCUAAGUGAAAUAAGUCAGAUAGGGAAAGAUAAAUUCUGUAUGAUCUCACUUUUAUGUGGAUUCUAAAAAAAAAACCAAGCUCAAAUAUAUAGAGAAGAGAAGAAGAUAUGGGUGGUUGCCAGAGGCAGGGGAUGGACAUAGUGGGUGAAGGGGGUCAAAAGGUACGAACUUCCAGUUAUAAAAUAAAUAAGUCACGGUGAUGUGACAUACAGCGUGGUGCCUAUAGGUAAUAAUACUGCAUUGCACUUUUGAAAGUUCUCAACACAAGAAAAAUGUGACUAUGUAUGGUGAUGGAUGUUAACUAGACUCAUGUGGUGAUCAUUUCACAAUGUAUACAAAUAUUGAAUCAUUAUGUUGUACACCUGAAACAAAUACGAUGUUAUGUCAAUUAUAC
ensembl:lncRNA